rnacentral:rRNA from 1 species
UACGUAGGGGGCAAGCGUUGUCCGGAAUUAUUGGGCGUAAAGGGCGCGUAGGCGGGGAGGUAAGUCGGGUGUGAAAUCCCUCGGCCCAACCGAGGAACUGCGCCCGAGACUGCUUCUCUUGAGUCCCGGAGAGGAAGAUGGAAUUCCCGGUGUAGCGGUGAAAUGUGUAGAGAUCGGGAGGAACACCGGUGGCGAAGGCGGUCUUCUGGACGGUGACUGACGCUGAGGCGCGAAAGCGUGGGGAGCAAACGGG